rnacentral:rRNA from 1 species
AUACAGAGGGUGCGAGCGUUAAUCGGAAUUACUGGGCGUAAAGCGCACGUAGGCGGCGUAGCAAGUCAGAGGUGAAAGGCCUGGGCUCAACCCAGGAACUGCCUUUGAUACUGUUAUGCUCGAGUCCGGGAGAGGGUAGUGGAAUUCCCAGUGUAGAGGUGAAAUUCGUAGAUAUUGGGAAGAACACCGGUGGCGAAGGCGGCUACCUGGUCCGGUACUGACGCUGAGGUGCGAAAGCGUGGGGAGCAAACAGGAUUAGAAACCCCAGUAGUCC